rnacentral:lncRNA from 1 species
AGAAGAGCAGAGAAAUGGAAACAUGAGAGAGCACUUGGGUGCAUCUUGUUCUUUUUUUGUAAAGGAGUAGAGGGUUAGAGUGACCUUUCAGUUUCCAGUCGGCAAAUUGUAUCCAGCAGCAUCAAAGCAGCAUCAAGGUGAUAGAGGGUCAGAGAAACAUUCCUUUCUGCUCAUCAUCCCUCCAAAUUCUGCAGAAAUUUCUCCAUGGGAUUUUAUUGCUACUUUCCAUCUAGGAAAAUCUAGGCUGCUGGAUUGUGUAACACAGACAAGCACAAGUGUGGGCUGAUGUUACCUGCCAACCUCUGUGCCCAGCACUAAUACAAGACCCACUGCUGGUGUCACCUGCUACCUGUGUGAGUUCCUUCUUGGGUUGGUUAAUAAACAUCCUUCUUCCAGAGUUGUAGGAUCACAGUCUCAGCACCAGGGCGCAGCAGCUACACUGUGAUGGUGUCAAUAGUGAGAGUGUAACUGGAAGGAGAUGGUGUUGUUCAGGGAAUCAUUGAAGAACGGCUCCAAAUUCUGAGAUCUGAAGACAGCAACAGAUGAAAAUUCAGCAUAAAGGAGCGUACAGCUGUCCAGUGGGACUUCAUUGCAGAAGGACACUCAGGAAAGCUCAGACUUUGAUAAAGGACAGAUACUUCAUGACUACUUGAGCUACAUAAGAUAAGCACAUCAGAAAAGAAAGGAGUUAGUUAUAGACUGCGAAGAACAUGACAGUUCCUGCCCUCAGGCAAUUCAGCCUGCUGCUUCAAAAUCAUCACCAGCAGCAGAAUCAUGCCCUUUUUUGUCCAGCCCAUGCUUCAGAGUGCAAGGGACAGCACCUUUCACUGGAGAUAUACUGUGGAAGGACAUGCAGGUACAACAGAGGCCAGACAGGAGCCAGUGGUCACAGUCCUGAACUUUCAACUAUGACUGUCCUGCUCAUAAUUUGUCCUUUCUGAG